UGAUCAGAUUUUUAUUUCAUUUUGGAUUCAAGCCAUUUGUGAAGAACAAUUUUCUUUGAGACUCUGAAAGGAUGCGUGUGGUCAUCCAGUAUUACUCUGAUGAUUGGCCAACAAAUGUUGCAAAGCUAGCAUUUGAAAAAUCUGUGUUUGCUAAGACUCUAAAGAUAAAUGGAAGGAUAGAAGAUAUGUAACAAUGCGGAGGUAAUCAUGUUCGAGUGCAACAUUCUUAUAUAUAAGUUUGUGCAGGAACUUCACUUCUUUGUGACUCGAGGUGACGAUAAAAAUGAACUCAUUUUAGCAACUCUACUUCAGGGAUUCUUUGAUGCAGUUGCCCUUCUCUUGAGGAACAAUGUCGACAAAAGGGAGGCAUUAGAGCACCUGGAUCUCAUACUCCUAUAGUUCAAUGCUUUGAUGUGAUCAUUGAUCAAGGAUCUGCUCAUUUUUUACCCUUUGCAACUGUUAAAGCUGAAGAGAUUUCAGUGUCACUGCCUGCUGAAAUACAUCACUUAGUUAAGUUUAUGUGAUUAAUCCUUAA